rnacentral:rRNA from 1 species
UCGCUCCUACCGAUUGGAUGGUCCGGUGAAGUUUUCGGACUGGUUCUUUCUGCUGGUUUCCAGCUGGAUUGAGCUAGAAAGUCAACUAAACCUUAUCAUCUAGAGGAAGGAA